rnacentral:lncRNA from 1 species
AAUCCGUUUGUGGGUGUUUGGUACGCGGGAGUUCCAUUCCGAUUCCGAUUCUCGAGUGGAAUGGGAAUCUCCCAAUCACUUAUUUUUCAAUCCGGUCUAGGAGGCCGGAUUGAAAGUUGAAUCCGGACGGAAUGGAUAUUUAUUCGGAUUAAAUUUAUUUUUUCAACUUUUUUAAUUAAAAUAUGAGUUAAUUCAAAAUUUUGAUGUAAAUUUUUAAUAUUUAAUUUUUAAUUUGAAUUUAAAUUAAUAUAUUAUAAAGAUAAUGUUAGUAUAUUAAUUUGAUUACAUUUUUUAUAUCCGACUGAACCAAACACCGACAAUGGGAAUGAUUUAUUCCGAUUCCGAUUCAGGUGAUGAACCAAACAGAAUUAGGUAAUGAGUCAUUCCGAUUCCGAUUCCAGCUUAUUUUGAUUCCGAUUCCAAUUUCGAUUCCGACUUCGAACCAAACGCGCCCUUAUAUCAAACCAAACACCCGUAAGCCCUUUUGAAAUAGUUGCUCAACUUUACUU